UUCCAGCAUAUUUUCGUAAACACUAUCCUAACGUGACUCCAAAACCUAAGACAACAACUACAAGCAAACCAAUAACCACCACAACUGAACAAUUGAGCUCUGAAAGUGAAGGACUGGUUACAUCUACAACUGAGGAAACCGAAACAACCACAACUGAACUAUACGAAGAAACCACAACUGAACAAUAUGAAGAAACCACUAUGGAUCAAUGUGUUGUAAAUGAAGACUGGCAGAUAACAAUAUCGAAUAAAUAUUCAGAUUUAAUUCGAAGCAAAGUUGCAGAAAACUGUAUUCUUCGCCCUACACCGAGGAAAUGCGCGGAUGGUUCG